GCGCAGGUUGCAGAGUCUGACGGAGCACGCCGCGUGAGUGAUGAAGGCUUUCGGGUCGUAAAACUCUGUUGUUAGGGAAGAACAAGUGCUAGUUGAAUAAGCUGGCACCUUGACGGUACCUAACCAGAAAGCCACGGCUAACUACGUGCCAGCAGCCGCGGUAAUACGUAGGUGGCAAGCGUUAUCCGGAAUUAUUGGGCGUAAAGCGCGCGCAGGUGGUUUCUUAAGUCUGAUGUGAAAGCCCACGGCUCAACCGUGGAGGGUCAUUGGAAACUGGGAGACUUGAGUGCAGAAGAGGAAAGUGGAAUUCCAUGUGUAGCGGUGAAAUGCGUAGAGAUAUGGAGGAACACCAGUGGCGAAGGCGACUUUCUGGUCUGUAACUGACACUGAGGCGCGAAAGCGUGGGGAGCAAACAGGAUUAGAUACCCCCGUAGUCCC
rnacentral:rRNA from 1 species